rnacentral:rRNA from 1 species
GUAGGUGGCAAGCGUUGUCCGGAAUUAUUGGGCGUAAAGCGCGCGCAGGUGGUUCUUUAAGUCUGAUGUGAAAGCCCCCGGGCUCAACCGGGGAGGGUCAUUGGAAACUGGGGAACUUGAGUGCAGGAGAGGAAAGUGGAAUUCCACGUGUAGCGGCGAAAUGCGUAGAUAUGUGGAGGAACACCAGUGGCGAAGGCGACUUUCUGGCCUGUAACUGACACUGAGGCGCGAAAGCGUGGGGAGCAAACAGGAUUAGAUACCCUGGUAGUCCACGCCGUAAACGAUGAGUGCUAAGUGUUGGGGGGUUUCCGCCCCUCAGUGCUGCAGCUAACGCAUUAAGCACUCCGCCUGGGGAGUACGGUCGCAAAGACUG